rnacentral:rRNA from 1 species
GGGUACAAUGGGGGGCAACCCUGAUGCAGCAACGCCGCGUGAGUGAAGAAGGCCUUCGGGUUGUAAACCUCUUUCUUCGGGGACGAACAUGUGACGGCCCCCGAAGAGGAAGCCGGGGCUUUCCAUGUGACAACCCCCGCGGUUUUUUCAG